rnacentral:tRNA from 1 species
UCAUGGCUCAGUGGUUGAACAUCUGCUUUGCAUGCAGAAAGUCCCAAGUUCAAGCCCUGUUAUCUCAG